AUUGAGAGUUUGAUCCUGGCUCAGGAUGAACGCUGGCGGCGUGCCUAAUACAUGCAAGUCGAACGCUUUGUGGUUCAACUGAUUUGAAGAGCUUGCUCAGAUAUGACGAUGGACAUUGCAAAGAGUGGCGAACGGGUGAGUAACACGUGGGAAACCUACCUCUUAGCAGGGGAUAACAUUUGGAAACAGAUGCUAAUACCGUAUAACAAUGACAACCGCAUGGUUGUUAUUUAAAAGAUGGUUCUGCUAUCACUAAGAGAUGGUCCCGCGGUGCAUUAGCUAGUUGGUAAGGUAAUGGCUUACCAAGGCGAUGAUGCAUAGCCGAGUUGAGAGACUGAUCGGCCACAAUGGGACUGAGACACGGCCCAUACUCCUACGGGAGGCAGCAGUAGGGAAUCUUCCACAAUGGGCGAAAGCCUGAUGGAGCAACGCCGCGUGUGUGAUGAAGGGUUUCGGCUCGUAAAACACUGUUGUAAGAGAAGAAUGACAUUGAGAGUAACUGUUCAAUGUGUGACGGUAUCUUACCAGAAAGGAACGGCUAAAUACGUGCCAGCAGCCGCGGUAAUACGUAUGUUCCAAGCGUUAUCCGGAUUUAUUGGGCGUAAAGCGAGCGCAGACGGUUAUUUAAGUCUGAAGUGAAAGCCCUCAGCUCAACUGAGGAAUUGCUUUGGAAACUGGAUGACUUGAGUGCAGUAGAGGAAAGUGGAACUCCAUGUGUAGCGGUGAAAUGCGUAGAUAUAUGGAAGAACACCAGUGGCGAAGGCGGCUUUCUGGACUGUAACUGACGUUGAGGCUCGAAAGUGUGGGUAGCAAACAGGAUUAGAUACCCUGGUAGUCCACACCGUAAACGAUGAGUGCUAGGUGUUUGAGGGUUUCCGCCCUUAAGUGCCGCAGCUAACGCAUUAAGCACUCCGCCUGGGGAGUACGACCGCAAGGUUGAAACUCAAAGGAAUUGACGGGGACCCGCACAAGCGGUGGAGCAUGUGGUUUAAUUCGAAGCAACGCGAAGAACCUUACCAGGUCUUGACAUCCCUUGACAACUCCAGAGAUGGAGUGUUCCCUUCGGGGACAAGGUGACAGGUGGUGCAUGGUUGUCGUCAGCUCGUGUCGUGAGAUGUUGGGUUAAGUCCCGCAACGAGCGCAACCCUUAUUACUAGUUGCCAGCAUUCAGUUGGGCACUCUAGUGAGACUGCCGGUGACAAACCGGAGGAAGGUGGGGAUGACGUCAAAUCAUCAUGCCCCUUAUGACCUGGGCUACACACGUGCUACAAUGGCGUAUACAACGAGUUGCCAACCCGCGAGGGUGAGCUAAUCUCUUAAAGUACGUCUCAGUUCGGAUUGUAGGCUGCAACUCGCCUACAUGAAGUCGGAAUCGCUAGUAAUCGCGGAUCAGCACGCCGCGGUGAAUACGUUCCCGGGUCUUGUACACACCGCCCGUCACACCAUGAGAGUUUGUAACACCCAAAGCCGGUGGGGUAACCUUCGGGAGCCAGCCGUCUAAGGUGGGACAGAUGAUUAGGGUGAAGUCGUAACAAGGUAGCCGUAGGAGAACCUGCGGCUGGAUCACCUCCUU
rnacentral:rRNA from 1 species